rnacentral:rRNA from 1 species
AUGGCGGAUCCAACACGUCAGAUAACAGGGGGGCAGGGGGAAGAGGCGGAGGCGGAAGUAGGGUUAGGGCUUGAGGGGGCGACCGGAUCUGGAGAUCAUGAUGGGGUCAGGGAAGAUGGAAGCCAAAACAACUCGAUGGCGGAUGGGGGGAGUCACAGCUCGCAGGCAAGGAGGAGUGCAUUUGGCGGAGGGGAGGAUGAGCAUGGUUCGUACUUUGGGUCGGGGCCUGAUCUUGAGGAUCAGUUCGUCGGGAUGAAGUUGCAUGGGAAGGAAGAGGAGGAUCUGGAUUUCUCAGAGGAGGUGGAAGAUUUGAUCAAAGAUGUUCGCUGGUUAGCCUUGUUCCGGGUUCAUACGACCAAGCCGUUCAGUCAUGCGGCGCUCUUGACGCAGAUGCGUAAUGCGUGGUCGGCGGCGCAGGGCGUGACUUUCAAUAUCAAGGGGCCCAAUUUGUUCCUUGUUCAGUGCCACUGCUUGGGAGAUUGGAGGAAGAUCAUGGAGGGAGGGUCGUGGCUGUUCCGUCGGGCGCCUGUGGUGAUCCAGGAGUAUGAAGGAUUUUCAUAUGUCAAGGGCUAUAAACUAAACAAGGUACCGUUGUGGGCUCGUGUCAAGGGUCUGCCUGAUGGCCUUACUAGAAAGGGAGUUGGCGGAGAAGGUAGCUGCAAAGGUGGGAGAUCCUCCGUUUACUGUUGUGGUGAAUGA